CCAGGACCAUCACACUGGGGACCGGCUUCUCUGCUCUCCCGUUAUGGGGGUCGGGGGAAUGAUGGGUCAAGGGUCUUCCGAAGAAAGCGAGAAAGGAACAGGCGCCUUCAAAAGCCCACUUGGCGAUGGGUUACAGUAAGAGGUUUCCCCUCCAGGUGCAGCUUCAGAGCCAGGCGAGCCAGGAAGGACCAGCGGGCGAGGUGGAAGUCUGCAUUAUCACGAGGAGCUUGGAAAGGAGGUAACACACUCAAGGCAAAUUUCAAGUAACUCAUCCUGGAGGCAGCUGCCUACUCUGCAGCUGUGGUUCUCCACCACAGAGAGAAGAAAAGGGAGGGAGAUGGAGUGCGCAGGUCUGAGAAGGCUUUCAUUCUGGAGCAUCUGCAGGAGCCUGCACCAUGGCCCAGUAGCACCCCUUUUUCUCCAUGAGCUGCUGGUGGGUUCCCCCCUCCCGGAUAGCGCCUCCUUCCAGAAAGAGGAUGUGGUCAGCCUGCUCCACCAGGCUGAGGUGCUGGGUGAUGAGAAGCACUGAGCGGGAGUACCGCUCAGGGCUUUCGUACAGGAGCUGCUCCACCUGAGGAAAGACAUCGGACCGUCAGAGCCGGGGACUACCCUCAGCCCAGGGAGACACCUGUGUUUCCAGGGCUGGGACUGACCUCACAGGAUCACUGCUGGCUCUGCUAACAACCCCAAGGACACCAACGUUUCCCAUUCUGAGUACUUCUCCGCAAACCCUUUGUUUCAUUAAGGACUGUUUUACAUGAAGGGUGCAAAAGUAGGAUAAAAAUGAGAACCCUAGGGUGAAACACGUGACAGAAGAAUAAAGACUAUUGAAUAGUCCUCUUCUCUACCCAUGGACUUGGCAUUUUUAUAUUCGAUUUUAAGGAAAUAUAACUUAGUAGUAAAGAGAUGAGCAUUCAAGUCAGGCAGACCUGAAUUUGGGUCAAGGCUGCGCCACUCAAAAGCUAUAUGACCUCUAUAUGAGCAGCUUAUU
rnacentral:misc_RNA from 1 species